GUAUUGCGACCGUUUGCCACCGAGUCUCGUAACGAAAUGAAACAACGACCCAAAGCCGCCAAACGUAUUUGGAGAAACUCUAUUGAGGUUUUGUUUUUGCUGGCCAAGACAGCGAGAGACGCCGCCCCUCGCUUGUCAUACGAGAGUUUCGGCUGCUUGACUUUUGGCCGUAACGUUUCAGUGAAGAUGUCGGUGCCGUGUCUUCUUCCCCGCAAAACUCCGCUAACCGAAAGUUCUGGAGCUGCUUCAUCGUCGUUGUCGUCGUCGGUUAGUUGCCCUGCGAUAGUCAUCGAAGCAUUGCAAAUUGUCGAUCUAAUCACGAAAUGACAGCAGCAGCACGAAAGCACAAAAUUCAAUUAUCAAAAUAGCCAAAUCAUGCGUUAAAUAAGCUGUUACCAAGUAUAACAACUUUAUCAUUGUAUACAAGCGAUCACGUGCAGCCAACUUCGUGUAUUUCAACUGAAUCCUGG